rnacentral:rRNA from 2 species
AGACCCGAAACCCGGUGAUCUAGCCAUGGGCAGGUUGAAGGUUGGGUAACACUAACUGGAGGACCGAACCGACUAAUGUUGAAAAAUUAGCGGAUGACCUGUGGCUGGGGGUGAAAGGCCAAUCAAACCGGGAGAUAGCUGGUUCUCCCCGAAAGCUAUUUAGGUAGCGCCUCGUGAAUUCAUCUCCGGGGGUAGAGCACUGUUUCGGCUAGGGGGCCAUCCCGGCUUACCAACCCGAUGCAAACUGCGAAUACCGGAGAAUGUUAUCACGGGAGACACACGGCGGGUGCUAACGUCCGUCGUGAAGAGGGAAACAACCCAGACCGCCAGCUAAGGUCCCAAAGUCAUGGUUAAGUGGGAAACGAUGUGGGAAGGCCCAGACAGCCAGGAUGUUGGCUUAGAAGCAGCCAUCAUUUAAAGAAAGCGUAAUAGCUCACUGGUCGAGUCGGCCUGCGCGGAAGAUGUAACGGGGCUAAACCAUGCACCGAAGCUGCGGCAGCGAACGUAUCACCCAAGACAACUUUACGGAGUUGACGAUUGACGGAGCGAAGCGACGUCAAAGCGUUCAUUAAAGUCGAGUUGGCUUAGGGAUACGUUCGUUGGGUAGGGGAGCGUUCUGUAAGCCUGUGAAGGUGUGUCGUGAGG